rnacentral:miRNA from 1 species
CUCUCUCUCUCUCUCUCUCUCUCUCUCUCUCCCUCCCUCCCUCUCUCUGUGUGUGUGUGGAGAGAGAGAGAGAGAGAGAGAGAGAGAGAU